UUUAAAGUGUAAUGUAAGUCGCUUUGGAUAAAAGCGUCUGCUAAAUGAAAGAGG
rfam:Gasterosteus aculeatus cont1.007690, whole genome shotgun sequence.